UGGGAGGAGGACUGCGAGUGGUGGGAGGAGGAGGCGGAGGCCUUGCUGGCCUUGUCGAACUGCACGUAGCCGUCCUGCUUGCCGCUGCUGCUGACGCUGCUGUCACACUGCGUGUCCAGGAAGGAGCUGCUGUCGCUGAGUGAACCUCUCUGGAACUCCCGCUCGCAGAGCUCGAUGGACGAGCUGCCCAUGCCCAGCACGAACCUCUGCCCGUAGUCGUACAGGCGGCCCUGGCCGCUCAGGGUGCUGUAGAUGUUGGUGAAGGACAUGCCCGUGGGCACUCGCUGCUUGCCUGCGGGACGCAGGUCCGGCUGGCAGCUGCUUAGCGAGAUGGUGGGCGUCGAGUGGUGCUCUUUAAAGGUUCUGAAACUCCUUCUCCUCCUCUUUGAGGACCUCCAGCUGCUUCAGUACUGAGUCUUGUUGGAAUUCACCGCGGUCCAUCUACAAUCCAGAAAUGGCUGCUCAGUGGAUUGGAGCUGGGCUAAAUGUUCACUUCCCCCGAGGAAAAGACAGAGAAGUGAACUCGAAAGAGCCUUGUCAUCUCUGCCUCCCCCUUCCCACCUCUUCUCACUGCCUGGCCCAUGGAAGGCAGGGGAGGAGACUGAGGCACAGAGAAGCCCAUGCCCUCCAUGCCUUUGCCUGCUGCUGCUACUCCAAGCUUUUUCAACCAUGACAUAGCAUGCACUAGAGUUUUCUAGCACGAUUUUCCAGAUUCCUGCUAAUACAGCUGGGUGGAUUACAGUCUGUCAACGGGAAUCAGGAAGAGGAGGGGCAGGCUUUAGUUUGCUGGAAAAGUUAUGAGUUUGCUUCUGGUAAGCAAUCUGGUUUCUGAAGAGGAACCUAUGUUUCUUGCAGACUCUUUGGGGGAUGGGGUGGAGGAAGGGCAGGGCAUGUACUAAAGAUCUAUAAUAUUCAUGUGUGUACAGAAUUCUGUAUUAUACAACAACAUAUUAUGGCAAUUUA